CGCCUCUUGGCGAAAAUUAAGUCGCAGCAGGGUGGGGUUAGUAAAGAAUUGAAAGCCCUCAAGACAAUAAGAAA
rnacentral:sRNA from 12 species